AUAAUUCUUCUCCAGUGCUUCGUUAUCGUUUUAUUCUCCGCGGUAAACAUUUAUUGUUUCGCCUGCGUGUAUUCUCAAUACAAGACCUUACAAGAAAUUCCGUGUUCUAAGGAAACGCAAAUACUUCGAAGUCCCCGCACCGCCUAGUCUUCUCCCUUCCUUUUAAUCGGUUUUCGUGUAAUUUAUUUAUUAAAAGCCAAAGUUAUUUUUGUAUAA